rnacentral:rRNA from 1 species
GUUAAGCAACGUUGGGCCUGGUUAGUACUUGGAUCGGAGACGGCCUGGGAAUCCCAGGUGUUGUAAACAUUUU